rnacentral:misc_RNA from 1 species
CAAUCCAUAAGGCCUUUGCGGGUUUUGUGGGCUUGGACUUGGAGGCUUGCCGGCGGUCAGCGUCGGCUCCUCUCAAAUGCAUUAGCUUGGUUCCUUGCGGAUCGGCUCUCGGUGUGAUAGUGUCUACGCCGCGACCGAGAAGCGUUUGGCGAGCUUCUAA